rnacentral:rRNA from 3 species
AGACCCGAAACCCGGUGAUCUAGCCAUGGGCAGGUUGAAGGUUGGGUAACACUAACUGGAGGACCGAACCGACUAAUGUUGAAAAAUUAGCGGAUGACCUGUGGCUGGGGGUGAAAGGCCAAUCAAACCGGGAGAUAGCUGGUUCUCCCCGAAAGCUAUUUAGGUAGCGCCUCGUGAAUUCAUCUCCGGGGGUAGAGCACUGUUUCGGCUAGGGGGCCAUCCCGGCUUACCAACCCGAUGCAAACUGCGAAUACCGGAGAAUGUUAUCACGGGAGACACACGGCGGGUGCUAACGUCCGUCGUGAAGAGGGAAACAACCCAGACCGCCAGCUAAGGUCCCAAAGUCAUGGUUAAGUGGGAAACGAUGUGGGAAGGCCCAGACAGCCAGGAUGUUGGCUUAGAAGCAGCCAUCAUUUAAAGAAAGCGUAAUAGCUCACUGGUCGAGUCGGCCUGCGCGGAAGAUGUAACGGGGCUAAACCAUGCACCGAAGCUGCGGCAGCGACACUCAGGUGUUGUUGGGUAGGGGAGCGUUCUGUAAGCCUGUGAAGGUGGCCUGUGAGGGUUGCUGGAG